rnacentral:rRNA from 1 species
GACGAACGCUGGCGGCGUGCUUAACACAUGUAAGUCGAGCGGAGCGGCGAACGGGUGAGUAACGCGUGAGUAACUGCCCCCCUCUCUGGGAUAACAGUUGGAAACGGCUGCUAAUACCGGAUAGUGGGGGAUGACUCGAGCCCUAUCAGCUUGUGGGGGGGGUAGUGGCCUAUCUAGGCGAAGACGGGUAGCCGGCCUGGGAGGGCGACCGGCCACAGUGGGCUGAGAUACGGGCCAAAGUCCUACGGGAGGCAUCAGUGGGGAAUAUUGCACAAUGGGGCAAACCCUGAUGCAGCAACGCCGGGUGGGGGAUGACUGCUUUCCGGUUGGAAACCGCUUUCAGCCAUGACGCGGUAGUGGCAGAAGAAGCACCGGCUAACUACGUGCCAGUAGCCGCGGUAAUUC